CAGAUUCAGGAGUCAAAUGCUUUGGCCAUCUCUAUGUGGGAGGAGAGCAGCUCUUAAAGUGAGAAGACUCGGUUUCAGCUUUGGCCCUGGCUUGCUGCAAACCUGUGGCUGACAUAGUUCACUGUCCUCGUUUGUAAAAUCAAAGACAAUGUUUAAGAUACAUUUUCUAGGCAACAGAAGGAGUGACGCUAAAUUUCUUUUCACCUACAACUGGAGCCGACUUUGGGAAGGGAGAACCACAAUGGAGAAGUCUGAAAGCCUGCGCAGGGCAUAGUGCCACCAUCAAAUCACUUUCUCAGGGGUCUGGACCGACGGUGUGCUGCAGGUUAAGAGAUGGUUCCGGCCGCCCUCCAGGAGCCAGGUCCCACCAGGUUCGAGUCCUCACUGCAUCCGCUGUACCUCACACAUUUAAGGGUACGCAAGGGGUGCUCGGGAGACCUGAACUCAAAGACCUGAACUCGCGGACGCAGCAGAUCUCGGGCUCUACCACCCGAGCUUUCUACAAGCAAGGAGACCCGACAAGCACCCAGGCCUGCGCAAAAUUCUUAAGCCGCCAUUGUGUCCCCCGCGGCCCAGGAAGAACCGUCCCGACCCCGCCUUCCCAUGCCCUUCCCAAACCCCUCACCCCGGCGCCCUGCUCUGGAGGCAGCUUCUGCAGCCGCUCAAGCGGCGAUUCCCCUUCCGGCUCCAUCCCCGAGACGUGAAGAUGCCUGUCACGUGACAGGCCUGGACCCUAAGCUUUCGCUACGAUUCACCCACGGUCCUGGGCACUGAGCCCUGGUAUUCAGGCUUACCAACAAACCAACCCUCUGAAGCACUUUAAAACAUUACCUGCCUGUUCUGAUUCUACCUCAUCUAGGUGUAUUCUGGUUCCUAUCUCCCUAACCUUAUUCACAGUAAGGGCUUAAAAUGCAGGCUCUGGAGGUAAGUCCAGCUCUGUAAGUCAUUGGUAACUGUUACCGUCUGUACAGCAGCAGCAAGCCAGUUCCCCUCUCUGGCAGGCAUGUCUGCCUCUUCAUCCUUCACUAUUGACGAUGACCAUGUAGACUUUACAGGGCUUGUUUUAAGUUCACACCUGUAAAGUUAUUUAAAUAAAGCACAGUCUAGCACCUAGAAAAUGUUAUGAUUCCUUUCUAAGGAACCUUCUUCCCCUGCCUGCAUAUGACCAAGGCCAAGCAGCUUCCAGAAAAUCCACUUUCUCAUCACUGCUGCCAGACCCACUGCUGCAUGGAAGUCUUAGGAAAGCGGUUUGCCCCUCAGCCGCACCCGGCCUGCCUGACGGAGCUGUGCAGGCAAUGCAGAUGAAGAAGGGAGAUGUGAAAGAAGUCAAGCAAGUCUCACAGUGCUGAGCAGAAGCUGGAAGGCCAGCUUCCUCUUUAGAGAGCUCCUUUCUGGGGUCGGCUUCUUAUUGUCUCUUGUUCUUCCUGUUUUGUUGUUUGUCAUUUGGGGGGGUAGAGUUUCAUCCACAGAAAUCUCAAGUUCUUCCUCCCUUCUUCUGUUCUUCUCCAAUUUAUGACAGACAGCUACAGUGCAUGCAUAUUUGAUAAAUCAUGACUAUAUUGAUCUUGUUUAAUGUUUGCUUUCAAACCAGCCAAAUAUCAUCUGGAAUACAGCUCAGUGGUACAGUGCUUGCCUACCACAUUCAAGGCCCCAGCACUGAAACAAUAGCAAGGAAACAUAAAAAUAUUAAAACAAAACAAAACAACAACAAAAAAACCUAGCUGUGGUGAUUUGAAUAGAAAGAAAGGGCCCAUGUAGACUCAAGUGUUUGAAUGUAGAGAGUGAAUGCCCAUAGAGAGUGACAGGAGUGGGAGGUGUGGUCUUGCUGGAGAAGGUGUGUCACUGUGGCUGCGAACUUUAAGGGACCACAUGCAUGCGUAAGCCAAGGCUCAUUUCUUUUAUAGCUGCCUUCAGAUCAAGAUGUAGAACUCUCAGCUCCUUCUCCAGCACCGUGUCUACCUGCACACUGUCCUGAUUCUUGCCAUGACGAUAAUGGACUAAAUCUCUGAAACUAUAAGCCAGCCCCAAUUAAAUAUUUUCCUUUAUAAAAGUAGCUGUGGUCAUGGUGUCUAUUCACAAGAAAAGAAACCCAAAGACUCCAGCCAAUUUAUUAUGUGAUUUUACCCAUCUCCUUCCUCAGGUGUCUUACUAAUGGCAUCCAUUAAUAACCAGUUACACUGAUGAUAUAUUUUUCAAUUUAUGUUCUAGAUCAUAUUUGCAAGAGUCUGCCUUCUGAGUCAUCAGUCACUAAAGAACCACAACCCCUUGCUUUCUAUUAUUCUGAUAUGACCAAGCCAAUUAUCUUUCUUCAGAUAAUAUUAUGGGGGACUCCCCCUCCUUAUAGAAAUUUCUGCGUGAGUCAAAGAAACUUAGGCAUCUUACAAAGAUACUGCAAAAAUGUAAUUCAACAUAUUCUCUCUUUACUUCUUACUUACAGGAAGGUUGGUCUGAUUGUUUCUGUUCCCUAAAACCUCCAGGUUCUGUCCAUUGAGGCCUUGAAUAGAGACAAGUGACAAAACGUCACAUAGGAAGUUUCUAUGUGCCUGAUCUAGAAAUGCUGCACACACUACUCCAACCUGGAUCACCACAUCAGCAGAAUCCAUCUCCAUGGAAUUACCCAACUACGAUGGAUACUGAUGAGAGAGUCUAGCUGUGCUUCCAGGAAAAAAAAAAGAACACAAUUUGAUUUUUAAAUGUAUAUAUGUCUGUUUGGUAUUUGUUUUGUUUGCUAUUUUUUAU